GUGCUCACCUCGACAGCACAUACACUAAAAUUGGAACGAUACAGAGAUUAGCAUGGCCCCUGCGCAAGGAUGACACGCAAAUUCGUGAAGCGGGCCAUAUUUUU
rnacentral:snRNA from 1 species